rnacentral:rRNA from 1 species
GAUGAACGCUGGCGGCGUGCCUAAUACAUGCAAGUCGAGCGAACAGACGAGGAGCUUGCUCCUCUGACGUUAGCGGCGGACGGGUGAGUAACACGUGGAUAACCUACCUAUAAGACUGGGAUAACUUCGGGAAACCGGAGCUAAUACCGGAUAAUAUAUUGAACCGCAUGGUUCAAUAGUGAAAGACGGUUUUGCUGUCACUUAUAGAUGGAUCCGCGCCGCAUUAGCUAGUUGGUAAGGUAACGGCUUACCAAGGCAACGAUGCGUAGCCGACCUGAGAGGGUGAUCGGCCACACUGGACCUGAGACAGGGUCCAGAGUACUACGGGAGGCAGCAGUAGGGAAUCUUCCGCAAGGGGCGAAAGCCUGACGGAGCAACGAUGAGUGAGUGAUGAAGGUCUUCGGAUCGUAAAACUCUGUUAUGAGGGAAAAACAAAUGUGUAAGUAACUAUGCACGUCUUGACGGUACCUAAUCAGAAAGCCACGGCUAACUACGUG